UUAGCCCCCAUCUCACUGACCAGACCAAGCUACAGAAAUACAUUCAUAAACAUAAAGGUUGAGUUAGUCAUGAUAGUUUUUUUGGUUAUGGGCAAUUAAAGAGAUUAGGGAUGGUAUCCAGGAGGGCACCUGUUUAUAAAUACACUAUUUAAACCGUCCCAAGCCCGUUUAAAAAUUAAAUUUCAAUAGCCGUUUCCGUUCCAAAUCCAUUUUACACAACCCAUUUACUACCCGACAGUACCCGAACCAGACUAACUCAUAAUCAGGACAAAAAAAUUCAUAAAUUCACACAAAAUCUCACAUUUCAACAAAAUUCAGUAACACACCUCAAUCUCACAAAAACAACUUUGAUUGGAAAUAGUGUUUAUUUCAACAAUUUUUCAAUAAUCUCACUAAAACAACUCUUAAUCCAUUCAAAAUUAUCUUUAUUACAAAGAAUUUUCAAUAAAUCUCACAAACACAACCUUCACAUAAAUCUAAAUAUUUUCACAAAUUUCAGAAACCCACAUCAAUAGAUCUCACAAAUCUCGCACACAUCUGAAACCACAAUUUCAAAAAACUCAUCCAAACCUGCAGUGACAGAGGACGACGGCAGGACUGGACCAGCGGACGCAGCGACGAGGACCAGAGGAAGCGGCGGAGGAGAGCAAAGAAGCAACCAGGACCAGCGAACGCAGCAACAGCAACGACGUUUACAGCGUGAAGAGCAGAGGGACGAUGGGAGGGAGGCGCGCGGCUGUACCAGAAGAGAUGCGGAGAGGCAGAAGGGGGAGGGGGGAGGCAGAAGGGGGAGGGGAGAGGAAGGGAGGGCGACAAUGCUCAGGCUUGAGAGUUGAGAGAGAUUUUAGGGUUGGGGAUUUAAGGCCCUUUUUUUUUGUCAAAGAUUUAAGGGUUUCCUUG
rnacentral:lncRNA from 1 species